AAACAAUGAUAUUUCCCCACAUAAGUAUCCGCCGGGUUACUACGAACAUUAGUUUAAAAACCAAAGGACUUGGCGGUGCUUUAAGCCCCCCUAGAGGAGCCUGUCCUAUAACCGACACCCCCCGUUAAACCUCACCCUCCCUUGCUUAACCCGCUUAUAUACCACCGUCGAAAGUUCCCCCUGUGAAGGCCCAAUAGUGAGCACAACUGGUCAAAACCCAAAACGUCAGGUCGAGGUGUCGUGUAUGAGAGGGAAAGAGAUGGGCUACACUUGUUAUUUUUAACAUACACGGAAAUUGCACUGAAAUAUGUAAUUGAAGGCGGAUUUAGCAGUAAGCUAAAAGUAGAGAGUUA
rnacentral:rRNA from 1 species